GAUGAACGCUGGCGGCGUGCCUAACACAUGCAAGUCGAACGGGUGUACGGGAUGGAAGGCUCCGGCCGGAAGCCCCGUGCAUGAGUGGCGGACGGGUGAGUAACGCGUGGGCAACCUGCCCUGUACAGGGGGACAACACUUAGAAAUAGGUGCUAAUACCGCAUAACGGGGGGAGCCGCAUGGCACCCCCCUGAAAACUCCGGUGGUACAGGAUGGGCCCGCGUCUGAUUAGCUAGUUGGCAGGGUAACGGCCUACCAAGGCGACGAUCAGUAGCCGGCCUGAGAGGGCGGACGGCCACACUGGGACUGAGACACGGCCCAG
rnacentral:rRNA from 1 species